rnacentral:rRNA from 1 species
UACAGAGACUGCAAGCGUUAUUCGGAUUCACUGGGCGUAAAGGGUGCGCAGGCGGUUGGGUGUGUCAGAUGUGAAAUCCCGAGGCUCAACCUCGGAACUGCGUCUGAAACUACUCGACUAGAGUACUGGAGAGGGUAACGGAAUUCACGGUGUAGCAGUGAAAUGCGUAGAUAUCGUGAGGAACACCAGAGGCGAAGGCGGUUACCUGGACAGUUACUGACGCUCAGGCACGAAAACAUGGGGAGCAAAAGGG